rnacentral:sRNA from 1 species
UGACUCGCUGCACUGUUUGCACUGCAUGCACUCACCAACGCAAAUUAAUCAACGCUCUAAGCCUUGGUUUGCUAUACAUACAUAUUUACACGUACCUGUACAUAUGUAUGUAUGUAUAUAUAUAUGUGCAUGCUGAUAUAUAUUUACAUAUGCAAAUAUGUACGUAGGAAUCUAAGAAUUU